GCUGAGUAACGCGUAGGUAACGUACCUUUUACUGGGGGAUAACACCGGGAAACCGGUGCUAAUACCGCAUAAGUCACUGGUUGUAAUACUUGUGAUUAAAGAAUUUCGGUAAGAGAUCGGCCUGCGUCUGAUUAGCUUGUUGGUGGGGUAAAGGCCUACCAAGGCGAUGAUCAGUAGUUGGUCUGAGAGGAUGACCAGCCAGAGUGGGACUGAGAACGGCCCACACUUC
rnacentral:rRNA from 1 species